GGGCCCGUACCAAUAUGUGGGAUGCUCAGCCAGGUCAGAUAUUGACUAGAGCGCCCGGCUCAUAACCGGGUGGUCAGGGGUUCAAAUCCCCUCGGGCCCA
rnacentral:tRNA from 1 species